rnacentral:rRNA from 1 species
UCAAGACGGUAGCAACAGGAAGGAGCUUGCUCCCUCGGGUGACGAGUGGCGGACGGGUGAGUAGUGUCUGGGGAUCUGCCCGGUAAUGGGGGAUAACCUCUGGAAACUGUCGCUAAUACCGCAUACUAUCUCAAGAUCAAAGAGGGGGACCUUCGGGCCUUUCACUAUCGGAUGAACCCAAAUGGGAUUAUCUAGUAGGCGGGGUAACGGCCCGCCAAGGCGACUAUCCCUACCUGGUCUGAGAGGAUGACCACCCACACUGGAACUGAGACACGGUCCAUACUCCUACGGGAGGCAACAGUGGGGAAUAUUGCACAAUGUGGCGCAAGCCUGAUGCACCCAUGCCCGGGGGGGGGGGGGGGAGGAGGGCGUGGGGGUUUUAAAUUUUAUUUUAGGGGAGGAGGAAAGGCAGGGAGCUUAAUAACCGUUGGUGGUUUGGACGUUAAGCAGAAGAAAGAAGCAACGGGUUAAUUUCCUCGCCAGCAGCCGCCGAUAAUAAGGAGGGGUGCAAGGCGUUAAUUAGAAAUUAGUGGGAAUAAAGGCGGAGGCGGGCGGUCUGUUAAGUUAGAUGUGACAUCCCCGGGGCCUAACCGGAGAACCUGCAUUUGAAAAGCGGCAGGUUUUGAGUCUUGUAGAGGGGGGGUAGAAUUCCGAGGUGUAGCGGAGAAAGGAGUAGAGAUGAGGAGGAAUACCGGUGGAGAAGGCUGCCCCCGUGGACGAAGAUUGAUGCUCAGGUGCGAAAGCGUGGGGAGCAAAGAGGAUUAGAUACCCUGGUAGUCCACGCCGUAAACGAUGUAGAGUUGGAGGUUGUUCCUUUGAGGAGUGGCUUCGGGAGCUAACGCUUUAAGUAGACCGCAUGGGGAGUACGGCCGCAAGAUUAAAACUAAAAUGAAUUGACGGGGGCCCGCACAAGGGGUGGAGCAUGGGGUUUAUUUGGAUGAAACGCGAAGAACCUUACAUACUCUUGACAUCCAGGGAAUUCGGCAGAGAUGCAUUAGUGCUUUGGGGAACCGUGAGACAGGUGUCACAGGGCUGUUGUCAGCUCGUGUUGUGAAAUGUUGGGUUAAGUCCCGAAACGAGCGAAACCCUUCUCCUUUGUUCCCAACGAUUUGGUGGGAAAUUCAAAGGAGACGGCCGGUGAUAAACCGGAGGAAGGUGGGGAGGAGGUCAAGUCUUCAUGCCCCUUAGGCCUAGGGUUACACACGUGUUACAAUGUCGCAUACAAAGAGAAGAGACCUGGGACGAGCAAGCGGACCUCAUAAACUGCUUUGUAGUCCGGAUGGGAUUUUGCAAUUGGAUUCCGUGAAUUGGGAAUCGUUGGUAUUCGAGGAUCACAUUGCCACGGUGAAUACGUUACCCGGGCCUUGUACACACCGCCCGUCACACCCAUGGGAGUGGGUUGCACAAAGAAGCUAGGUUUAGCUUAACCUUCCGGGAAGGGCCGUU